UACCUCUUCCUAUCUAUAGGGAAAACGCUGAGUGGAACUAGAAAUGGCUAAGAAGCUCUCUUAUGUAGGCAGAUGCAUGACGGAAGGCUUCGUCUUAACAACUGCGCCGAUUUUUAUAUCCACAACGCCUAUCAGGUCGAAAAUGGGACUGGCAAUCCAAUUUGAUAUUACAUCCCCUUCAGUUUUGCUUCGUCCAACAAGACACCGUCGCUGUAGGUAGAAGAGCAUCCGUUGACCCUUCUUUAAAUCUACAGAAGAAAUAAUUUAGUUUCUAAGAGUGCUGUUUCCCGUUGCAAAUGUAUUAUUUCUCGUAAAAGAUUACCGGACUUACAGAGAAAUGUAAAGUGACAACAUCCAACCCACAUUUAGAUGCUGGGACAUUUGUCAAAUUCCGCCCACAGCUGUGAGAUUUUACCAAAUCAGUCGAUAGGAAAACUGCUGUGAAAUUCUAUCAAACCAUUCGACAGAAACGUACGGACGAUGACGUAACGACGCUGGAUUAGGAAUCCGCAUUUGACAGCAGUAUUUUCAGUUCGGAUCCAUGCCGUGAUGUCAUAAGCAGGUGGAAACGUUAAAUUUGUGUACGAAGCAGAUCGCUGUUGUUUGCUUCAAGGCUCGUGAUAUAAUCGGGUAGAAACCAGCGAUACACUUCGCCGCGACUGGGUCGAAAUGAAAAGGUGGAUUUUUAGUUACGACAUUUCUACGCCAACCGAAUGAAAUAUUUUGAAAGGAGGCCAAAUGCAUAAUAACCUAAUGGAGAUUUUAUUGUCUUCAAUGACACCAGGAUUUAGACGAAAUGGUCAACUUGACGCGAUACCGACAGAUGGACGCACAGUGACGGCCAACAUUUUCACAUUACCGCAGUUGUGGAACGAUGAAGUGUAAUUGAUAACGUCAAGAUACAGGAGUCUCUUGAGAAACCGUACGUAAGCAGAAACCAAAACAAUUGCUAGAAUGCAAGUGAGGAAGAGCUGCAAGUCAGCCAAGAGGAAGAAGCUGCAAGUACACCGAGUAACGACAGUCAAUAUCAUAGACGCAGAGCUUUUUCAUGUCAACAUUUUAAGAGUAAAAUGUCAAAACGGAUGUUUGAUUUCCGCGAACGAGCACGAAUGGUGGCAUAUUAGCAGUAAGUGCCUCCAACCAAGCCAUGUACAGUGGGGCACUGAAGGCUCCUUUUCGAGUUACGGAUAUCAGGGAAAUCAGUUUUCUUACAUGAAAACCAAGUUCGAAUCAGAUGAAUGGUCUAGCAGCAAUUCCCGCAAUCUCAGGUAACGAUCCGUUUUAUAUUGGAAAGCCUCGAGUUCUCCGGCCGUUAAUUGAGGCCCUUCUGUAAUUGAGAGACGUUAUCGAAAUCGUUGAUGAAUAUUCGAUAAAAAGCAAACCGUUAUUUGCUGAUUGCAAAAGGGGUCGGAUUAAGUCGUCGAACCACUUCUUGGUUUUGCUUUUCGGUGGAACAUCCACGUCAGUAAUAAUCACGAGAUCGGAGUAAUCAAUCCGGAAUUUCGAUAGCAACAUUGCCAUGCUGGAUGAUAAAAAGGCAAGCAUUUCGUGGACCCCGGACGCCGUACAGAAAAUGCGCAGUUUAGUUUCUGACCAAUUUGAUCGGCUGUUUAUGAUGACGGGCAGCAGGAGUGUUAACCCUAGUUGAAUGACACGACAGAAAAAGUGUUUUGGAAAUACUAGCGCAUAUUUUCAAUGCUUCGACUACCUCCAUCAUCGCUUAGCCACCAAACGUCGAUGGUGUCUUUUUUCUGCUUUCUCUGGAACAAGACGAUACUGUUUAGUACGCUCUUUGGUAGUGGGUUUCCGGCAACGUCCCUGUACGAUUGAAAUCAUGAAAGCGGUCGACUCUGUUGAAGGCUCGACUAUUGUUGAAGAUUGCGAAAUGAGUUGGUCGAUGUCGGCCACAAUUUCCGAGCAGUCUAAUCCCUCUUUGAGACGAAGGAUAGCCACUGCCACAUGCAUUUCGAAUCCCGUACUGAAAUGGACGAUUAGCGUUGACCAGUUAUUUUUAUACCCCAUCAUCAGGAUGUUGGGCUUGACUUUGCCUACGCCCGCGAGGCCAAGCAUUGCAGCCGCCCCUGUUUGGAGAUCCGAGUUAUCUGCAACGGUACAAAAUCCCUUGAUGUUUGUGAACCGCAGGAAAUGACUACUGGGAUACCUGCACGAGCAACCGUAGCCGCACAAAUGAUUGCUACUCCAGCGUACGAGAUGCUGCAAAUAAUAAUAGCUAAAAUAGUCCCUUUAGGAAUAGCCUUGUUGGGAUCCUGUGCGAAAUCAAAAGUAACUUGUUUAGAUAUGCCCGUUUACUUGAAGAUCGAAACUGGAUAAACGCAAAAGCAUUUACCUUUAAAUCCCCUGAAACAUUGGCUCCGGCAAGAAUACCGAUACUGGCUGGAAAAUAAACAGAAAAAACUGAUAUGAAAUUUUGCAUUUGACCAGCAGUGACGGUAUAUCCCGGUUUCCAAUUUUCGUUCAGCAAGUCGACUACACUCAGAAAUUGUAUUAAGCUUCUUCAGCCUCGGUAGAAGGCCCCAUGAUGCUCCCAGUAAUGAAAUUCGUAAACGCUGCCAUCAUAAUGACGAACAUGACAUCCUUCAUCUCUCCAAGACCGCAGAUGGCAGAGAUGAAUAUCAAAGUAAUGGUGCCGAUGAUGCGAAUAUCAUUGAUUCCUCCGUCGACGAUAAUUACGCCUCCAUAUUCCUUCAUCAUGUCCUGCACGGCUUGCGAGAAACCAACCACAUUGAGAGAACAAUCCAUCGCAUUGGCGAUGGCGAAGAUGAUUCCGAUCGAACCGCCAAAUUCCGGACCCAACACUCUCGACCUGUAGUGUGGCAUGGAGGCAACGUCUUAGCGUGAAUAUUCCUCGUGCAGCUAGAAAAUGAAUGACGUCUUAACUUACAUAACGAAGUCAUACCGCCGCCGAUUUCUCCGUUCGUUGAGAUAGCGGACAUGGACAAAGCCGUCACCAAAGUGAUGAAUGUUGAAAUCGCGAUGAUAAUCAAAGUUUCGCCUAUUGCCGCAAAAAAUCUCAACUUCAUCAACCUCAAGAAGAGCAUAACACCCCAAAUGCUCAUCAUGUUGCGAAUGAGAACUCCUUCGAUCCAGCCGAAUUUGUCGCCUACUCGAUUAUCGUGAUGUGCUUCAACUGCCUCCUCUUCAACUGGUUGCUGCUGGUUGUGAAAGAUUAAAGAGUUCGGGCAAUGUUGGCCGGAUCAACGAAUGUUGAGUUCGAUAGUUGUCAAUAUGAGGUGUGGUGUCACGACUAAUCUUACGAUCAGGAUUUCUGGAAAAAGUCAAGGUUGCCCUUGCUACAAUUGCUUCCUGCUCUGAUGCGACGUUUUCUUCGCUGCCAAUUGGCUGCUGGAAUCGGUUUUAAGUCGCUGGUAUCCAUGAUAACGCCUGAUGUAAUUGUAGCCAGUGUAAUCCGGCGGUUUGGUCUCUCGCUUGAUAUUUUUCGCACCGAACUGUUUCUUCGUUCCUGUUAUUCCAGAGGGAACGAUGAAGUCGUUACAGUAAUUGCGUAUGAUCGUGAUGAAAAACCAUGCCAUUUUAGCGUAAUGUGUGCUUCUUUACCUCGGUCGAUGAUUUCCUCGCGCUGUUUUCAAACGUAUCUUCCAUGUUGCAGUAUACCUGAUUUAUGUUACGAAAUUUGCGCUGAAAAGGGACAACAACGUUUCUGACUCAAUAGUCAAGAGUUAUCGAACCGGUACCCCCACCAAGAAAACACGUAACAUCUAGGAAUAUAAAAUCGAAUUUGAUAAAAGCAAGAGACAGCAUUAUUUUGCUGGCUGUUUUCUAAAGUUGUGCAAAUGCUUCCAAAUUCUUUACGCCAUCGACUUCAAAUGAAGAAAGACCAGCUUCAGCACAGUUGUGUCGUCAUUCGCUGCAUCAACGUUCUUCGUCUUUACUAACAUAAGUUGUUAGUCACCAUUUUCAUCCAUGGCUACUUGUGCUUAGAAACGCGUUGCCUAUAGUCGAUACCCAUGCCGGACGAGCCGACGUUAGCAUCGAGUCUACGAAACUUCAAGGUGUUAAAGAAACUUGGGACUUUUCAGGGUCCCGGUACUGGUACUGGUAGGUUACUGGUCAAAAGUUCCUACGAGCUGCAUAAGUGGGCGACAUAUUACAAAUUACGUAUUACAUGUUAUAUAACAUGUCAACAAAUUGAAAGUUGCUGUCACCUAAAAUUUAGGCUAUCCCUAGACUUUUUAUGUCAACAAGAUCCCAGAUGCAACCACAACCUAGUAGCGUUAAUUAAAUGGAUCCAUUGGCAGACCAAACGACAUGUCGACUCGGUCGUAAAUCUCUUCAUCUAGUUUCUAACCUUCAAUGGCCAAACAAGCGAUUUGAAAGGAAGAAGAAAAAACCAUCAAGUGCCGUUAAAGCUAAAGUGAAAAACACAACAAAAUGUUUCUUUGUAUGCCAGAAAAGGAAGACCCUCUUCAGAUGUUUGAUCGAAAUGGUGUAACAAAAGUCAGGUCAUGAGAUAAACAAAAUUAGAAAUCGGGCGCAUAUGGGCAAUGGUAAAGGAUUUUUAAGAAAAUUGAAAAGAAAACUUUAUUGACUAUUCUACUUGACGCUUUUAGGAGUAAAAUGUCAAAACAGACGUUUGAUUUCCUCGAACGAGCAUAAAAGGUGGCAUAUUUGCUGUAAGAGCCUCCAACCAAGCCAUGUACAAAUGAGCACUGCAGGCUCCUUUUCGGGGAAUGGGUGGAAUUAAAUUUUGAAACGCCUUAUUACAUAACAACCAGGUUGGAAUCCGAAGAAUGAUCCAAGAGUAACUCCCGUAACCUCAGGUUGCCCAAUCAUUUUUGUAUCCCAUCAUGAGGAUGUUCGGAUAGACUUUGCCUACUCCUGUGAGGCCGAGCAUUGCAGCCACACCCGAAUGGAGAUUUGAAUUAUCCGCGACGACGCAAAAUCCUUUAAUGUUCGUGAAUCGCAGUUCGUUCUCGGGACCCACGAUGCUGCCGGCAACGAAAUUUGACAAGGCUACCAGCAUGAUAACCAUCAUAAUGUUCUUCAUCUAGCAUACCCGAAGUUGUGAAAGAGACAGUAGGGUCCAAGGCCGCAAACAGUACAUGUAAAUAUUGUUGUCGCGGUGCCGAUGACGCGGAUGUCGUUGAGGCCUCCAUCGAAGAUGAUGUACCCACCGUAUUCUUUCAUCAUGUCCUGAACGGUUUGAGAAAAACCAACUAGAUUGAGUGCGCAGUCCAUUGCGUUGGCGAUGGUAAAGAUGAUGCCGAUUGAACCGCCGAAUUCUGGACCCAACACUCUCGACCUAAAUUGCUCAAAGUACCGCCUGAAUAUAAAAUAGAAACAGACGUGUUGCUGCGAUAAGAAUCUGGGAUGUUAAUUGGCAGAACAAAUUAACGGUGUUUUACCUCCACCGAUUUCUCCAUUGGUUGAGACGGCAGACAUGGAUAAGGCAGUCACCAAAGUUAUAAAAGUCGAAAUGGCGAUAAUCACCAAGGUUUCAGCUUUGUGGGGAAAAAAAUUACGAAAAAUGGUCAGGUGUGCAACAAAGGGGGUACUACUUUUUAGCCAAUGAGGAAAUAAGUCACCUAUUCCUGCUUGGGCUACCACCCAUGAAAGCCUCAGAAAAAGCAUCACCCCCCAGAUGCUCAUCAUAUUGCGGAUCAAAACGCCUUCUAUCCAACCGAAUUUGACUUUCUCUACCACGGUUUCUUCUAGAGCUUCUUCAAUUUUGGCUGGGCUCUCCUCAGUCGGUGUCUGACAAGAAUUGGUGGAAGAAAAAACAAAUCCUCUACUGUUCUGCUCGGGUUAUUGAUAUUUGAUGGAAAUGUUACCUGUUCGUUAUCGUUUGCUGUUGGUAUUUCAUGUAAUGUCGGUAAGAGAUCUGUUUGGCUCUUUUGAUAAUGUAUCAUAUUGAUUUUAGGAGUUAACUUCCGAACCCGGAUGGUAUUAGUUGGUGGGCUGGGCACAUCAAGCGUUGUGUUCGCAUUUGCCCUAGUGGAUCCGUCUUUUUCUGUUGGCUUUCGAAUGCAAGAAACUUUACGUCGAGGUAAGCUUUUGUUUUCACUCUAUUAUCACUCACGUUUUCAAAUGCUUGAUUAUCCAUUGUGCUCCUUUGGUCUUCUACCACGGCUAAACAAAUUGAAAUGCCAAUAGAUUAAAAGAAAAACAAAGGGAGUGUAACCGCUAGCGAAAUUACUCCCAAAUUUCGUAUUGUUUGAGGGAAUUUUCACACUCGGCCGUAUUUCGUCUGCAUUUUUGUCCUCCGUCGGAUAAGGGGUCGUUCCUAAUGUGAUUCUUACCUCAAAACAUGAGGGUUUAUAUGACUUCAGCACUGACGCAAAACAGAAAAACAUAUUCUGUUUCGCCGUGCCUAGAAUUCUUAAUCUAAGUAAACAAAGUUAAUGAAGGAUCGACAUAUCCUUUGUAAACAUCUGGCAAAGAGAAGCUAGAAUAGAUGAUUGUUUGAUCAAAAGAGCUGAAGUUGUCUGCGUCAAAGAGCGAUGAUGGCCUAUUUAACAAAAAGCGCAAAAUCGGCAUUGGAAUCCUAAAUUGUUAAUAAUUAAAAUUGGGUUUGUUUGAACUGAUGUGUCUACGUUUCAAAUCAUUUAUACGGUGGCCGCUUGCUUGCGACAUUUCUACGUCAAUCGAAUAAGAUAUUUUGGAAAGGGAUGCAAGUGCCUAGUCAUUUUAAUGGAAAUUCUUCUUGCGUCUGCAGUGACGUCCAAUAGGUGCCUUUGUGCUUGGAAUCGGAAAAUUGUAAAAUGCAUUCUGGAAGAAAAAUCGGUGAUAAAUAAUGCAAUGUGUUAGCUGUGCUUAUUGAACUGCAGUACGGCGUGCUGGCAAUCCCCAGAUAACUAAUUCUUGACAAGUAUAUGUAUUUCCCAUGGAUUUUUGCGCUUUUUGAAAUGUCAAACUCUUAAAGAUUUCCGCAACUGAAGAAAGAUGAAGUUUCAUUCACGAUAUCAAGAUUCAGGUAAAUGUAUAUAGGAAGGAAUCGGAAGGAUAUACCCUUCCCACUUUUUCAUUUUUGGCCAAAUUUCAAAUAUAGCUGAAAAUACAUGAUUUCGAUUGAGAAUUAAAUAAAAAUUACAAAAAUCAGGUU